UUCCAGACUCCUACGGGAGGCAGCAGUGAGGAAUAUUGGUCAAUGGGCUUACGCCUGAACCAGCCAAGUCGCGUGAGGGAAGACUGCCCUAUGGGUUGUAAACCUCUUUUGUCAGGGAGCAACGCCGGCUACGUGUAGCCGGACUGAGAGUACCCGUAGAACAAGCAUCGGCUAACUCCGUGCCAGCAGCCGCGGUAAUACGGAGGAUGCGAGCGUUAUCCGGAUUUAUUGGGUUUAAAGGGUGCGCAGGCGGCACGGCAAGCCGGCGGUCAAAUCGCGGGGCUCAACCCCGCCCAGCCGUCGGAACUGCCGGGCUAGAGUGGGCGAGAAGUGCGCGGAAUGCGUGGUGUAGCGGUGAAAUGCAUAGAUAUCACGCAGAACUCCGGCGGCGAAGGCGGCCUGCUGGACCGUGACUGACGUUGAGGCUCGAGAGCGUGGGGAGCAAACAGGAUUAGAUACCCCAGUA
rnacentral:rRNA from 1 species